rnacentral:rRNA from 1 species
AGUGAACGCUGGCGGUAGGCCUAACACAUGCAAGUCGAACGGCAGCACAGUAAGAGCUUGCUCUUACGGGUGGCGAGUGGCGGACGGGUGAGGAAUACAUCGGAAUCUACUUUUUCGUGGGGGAUAACGUAGGGAAACUUACGCUAAUACCGCAUACGACCUACGGGUGAAAGCAGGGGAUCUUCGGACCUUGCGCGAUUGAAUGAGCCGAUGUCGGAUUAGCUAGUUGGCGGGGUAAAGGCCCACCAAGGCGACGAUCCGUAGCUGGUCUGAGAGGAUGAUCAGCCACCCUGGCACUGAGACACUGUCCAGACUCCUACGGGAGGCCGCAGUGGGGACUCUUGGACAAUGGGCGCAAGCCUGAUCCAGCCAUACCGCGUGGGUGAAGAAGGCCUUCGGGUUGUAAAGCCCUUUUGUUGGGAAAGAAAAGCAGCAGGUUAAUACCCCGCUGUUCUGACGGUACCCAAAGAAUAAGCCCCGGCUAACUUCGUG